UACGUAGGGUGCAAGCGUUGUCCGGAAUUAUUGGGCGUAAAGAGCUCGUAGGCGGUGUGUCGCGUCGGCCGUGAAAACCUGCAGCUUAACUGUGGGCGUGCGGUCGAUACGGGCAUCACUGGAGUUCGGCAGGGGAGACUGGAAUUCCUGGUGUAGCGGUGAAAUGCGCAGAUAUCAGGAGGAACACCGGUGGCGAAGGCGGAUCUCUGGGCCAUUACUGACGCUGAGGAGCGAAAGCGUGGGGAGCGAACAGG
rnacentral:rRNA from 1 species